UUGUCAUUUCAAAUACAGUUGAGCCUUGAACAACACAGGUUUGAACUGUGAAAAUUCACUUAUACAUGGAUUUUCUUCUGCCUCUGCCACUCUUGAGACAGCAAGACCAAUCCUUUCGCUUCCUCUUCUUCCUUAAUCUAUUCAGUGCAAAUGUGAUGAGGAUGAAGAACUUCAUGAUGAUCCACUUUCACUUAAUCAAUGAAAACCAAAAGAACCUGCCUUACUAUGCACCUAUGGCCCAUCAAAGGCGAGAGUAGAAUCUGCCAUGAUUUAGAAGCAAACAAGAAAAAGUACACAUCAGGGUGCCUAGAGACUUCACCUCUAUUUCCAUGAGGGACUGAACAGCCUCUUGAGAAGGGACUCAUCAAAAUGGAAGAGUUGGCAAUAAGAAGUUUGGCUCAAUAACCAAGCACUGAAGUUGCAGAGGAAAAAGGAUUUGAAGGGCAAUACAACGUUCAGGGGCAAGUUGGCAAUUUUUAGCAGGAGCUGAAGUGAUGCCAGCAGAGGUAACAGUGCUCAGAGGGACCAGCAGUCCCCAGGAGGAGCAGGGGAAUCCCCAGUGGAUCUGAUUUGUUCGAGAGCCCAUGUGAGAUUAUCAGCUGGCGUUACAAUUUUGGAGUGGCAGUGAGAAGCAGUGAAUUUGAGGUCACUCAAUUUGCAGACCCCAAUGGGUGAAAUGUUGAGAAACAUGGGUUACAUAUGUAUUUGACAACUCUUGUGUAUUAUCACAAAUCCUAUUUCACCUCUCAUGCCCCCGAGGCUUUGGUGUCCAGUUCCCUGAAGACUUCAUCAAUCCUCAGUCACAAAUCACCUGAGAGCCACUCACCUUGCUCCAUACUAUGAAGCUCCCUGAUGUCACAACAUGGCGGGCCUGUGGAAACCCCUCAGCACUUAUGCAUGAUCCCAAACAGCUAGAGGAUUAACACCUACAGUGUAACCCUUGAGCAGCAGGAAAUGGAAAUUACUGUCUUUUUGUCCCCCCAGGGGAACAGUUCUAAAAUGCAUUUUAUAAAGCUUCUGAAAUAGUUCCACAGGUCAAGCACCUACUUGCUCCAGUGGUGACCAACUCAGUGGUGCAUCGUUGGGUUGACUCUCCCUCGUUUCCAGUUCACUUUCCCUGCCCUUCACUUCUGCACCUCAGCAUCACAUUCCUGAAUAAACCACUCACACAUCUUUCUUAUUUCAGACUCUGUUUGGGGGAAUCCACAAUACAAAUUUGUCAUUUUGAGUUAAACAUUGUUCUCACCUUGAAGACAUAUUUCCAUACCUAGAGAUUUCUGACGUUCUCUCCCUUUUCCUACCAUCUCCUUUGUGCUUUGUCUGACCUCCAUAUUCCAGAGCCCCAUGACAUUUAGAGCCAGUACUGCUAGGGAAAUAGUUCAGUUGUGUUUUAAAUGGUUCAGCAACUUGUAACAUCAACUGAGAACCAGGGGAAUACACUCGGAGGCCAAGAAAAAAAAUGUUAGUUAAUAUGUACCAUAGAGUAUGAUUCCUUGGGUAAGGGAAAGUUUAUGCAAGUGACAGAGGAAAAUUGAAAGUUGUAGCCCUUUUUUCAGAAUUUAUAUUUGGAAUUAAAGUUUCUCUUCUCUUGAAGGACCUUCUUUUUGUGAUGGAUCUGAAGCCCGGAACAGUUGGCCAAUUUGCCCUAGUUGAGAGUGGCAAAUAAAUGAAGAGCUGAAGAAUGUGUCUCUUUAACUAGUGCUCCUUGGUUGAGAAGAUACAAAAAAAGUUGAAGGGUACGGAUGAAUCCACUGGCUUUUUCACGUCUCUGUUGAUCAUAAUGAGAUUAAUAUAUAUAGGACAUUCACACAGAGGGGAUAUUGACUCGAUGGCUUACAGAUUAUUAGAGUUAGAAAUGUUACCUACUACUAAAGGAAGAACGUUUCAGGUGUGGAUCUCUGAUUUAAAAAAUACGCCACACUUGCCUCAGUGAAGCAAGUCAACUUAGGUGCUGACACAAUGCCACUGCAGAUGCAGAUGUACUGAGUUCAUGAAAUCAGAUCCCACUCUCUCCACCUACCCCUACUGUAUUCAUCCUACUUUCCAUCUGUUCUGCCCUUCCCAUUUGGUAACCUAUUCAUGAAACACCUGGCUCUGGGUCCUUCAGCAUCAUUCCAUGUUUUACUGCUAGCAUCACUUUUCUUGGCACAGAACCUCUUAGGGCUGCUAUCCUAGGAGUAGGUGCCACUCAGGCUGGCUUAGUCCCAGGCUUCACUCACUUCUUGGCCCAUGCCCUGGAGGACCAGAAAGAACAAACUCUCUGCACAACAUCUCUGCAUGUGACCACAGAGCCCCCAUCUGAGCCUUGCUGGUAGAGAAGAACAUGCUGCCUCACAAGAUAACUGUGUGGCUCUGUUCAAAAACUUAAAAGUUAUUUCUUUUAUUGCAUUAGAAUUUGCCUCCCUGUAGCUUUUGUGCCUCUGUCCUGGUUCAGCCUUAGAUAGCAGUGCAGCCUGGUCCAUGUGAAAGCUCUUGCAAUAGGCAUUUCUGCUAGUCAGGAGUUCUCGGACCCAUCUCUACUCUUCACUUUUCUCAAGACUAAUAUCAGACUCCUGGGUUCAAGGAGUCUUCAAGGUUUCCUCAUACCAUAAAAGUUCUAAGCCCUCCAUUGUCCUAGUCACUGUCCUCUCUGUUCUAUCCCUGUCUGCCCUUCCAAGAUGCUGCACCCAGAGAUUUUGUCCUUCCUGGGGCAAGUCACCAUGAGAUGUUUACUUUUGGAUCAUACUGAAUUUGUGGGUUAAAUAAACUCAUAGGUCUCUGUCUCAUGAACUAAAUCCAAAUUCCAUCUCUUGCCAUAAAUCGUUUUUUGAAUAGUUGAACAGUAAGUAAAUAAUACACAAAUGAAUACUAAUCAAUAUUUGAACAUCCUCAAUAUUUUCAGCCCUAGUUUGAGCCAGAGAUAGCUUAUCUUGUGUACUUCACUAAGGACACUUUAUAUUAUCAAGCAAUUAAUAUUAUGAUGAUGUUAUGAUGUCAUAUCUCAACAAGCCCCACAGUAUCACUUCCAGUCUCUUCACCACAAAGAACCCUGAAGCCUUAAUAUUUUUCUGAAAAUCAUUAUUUCUAGCCACAGGAUGGGAUGUAAGAAAAGUUCAGAUUAGGAUUAUUCUAGGCUCCUGACUAUAACUAAAAUCCUGAUUUUUAUGGAAAGGAAUAGGGAUCAUUCCUUCAAAUUAGAUAUUUGUGAUAAAAAGAAAAAAGUUGGUAAUCUAUGCAAAUUUUUAACAAACAGAACUGCAUUUUCUUUGGAAAAUAAUAGUUGAACCCUUUUCUUAUAUAUGAAUUAGGGUGCAAUAGAGUUUAAUAAAAAUGAUGGGGAACACUCUUAUAAGGCUAAUUUAUCACAUUUCCUUCAAGGAAUUGUUCUUUCUAACGAAAUUGUGAAAUGGAACUCAACAAUAGCAUGAUGGGGCCUCUACCAGGAGGAGGUACAGAACAAGGCAGGAGGUCAGUGGUUAAAGGACUCCAUGCUUAUGCUCAAGAAAUGUGGAUCUUAUUAGAGGUGACAUAUGAACGGUGCAAGGUGCCUCGAUGGCCUUCAUGGGGUAAUGAAAACCUGUGAGAACACUGUGGAGGAAGAAUGCAAAUCCACAAUAUUAGGAUGAAUGUGAGAGGAGAAGGGAAGGAGGCCAUGAGGGAAAAAAUGACAUCUAAUUGGAUCUGAAAGGGAAGGUAGAAUUAAAGUAAAGAACACUGUGGACAUAUGGGAAUACCAUGUACUUUCUCAUGGAGAGAGGCCUUCCGAGAGUUCUGCACUGAUACCUCUUCUUUGACCAUCCCUUGUUAGCCAGCAGGUCAUUUGCCCUCAUCAGUUGCCUCAGUGCUGAGUGGUAGACUCAGCAGUCCCCAACCUCUUUGGCACUAGGGACUGGUUUCAUGGAAGGUAAUUUUUCCAUGGAUCAGAGAGGGGAUGGUUUCAGGUUGAUUCAAGUGCAUUACAUUUAUUGCACACUUUAUUUCUAAUACUAUUACAUUGUAAUAUACAAUGAUAUAAUUAUACAACUCGCCAUAAUGUAGACUCAGUGGGUGCCCUGAGCUUGUUUUCCUGCAACUAGAUGGUCUCAUCUGGGGGUGAUGGAAGACAGUGACAGACCAUCAGGCAUUAGAUUCUCAUAAGGCAUACACAACCUAGAUUCUUCACAUGGGCAGUUUACAAUGAGGUUCACGCUCCUAUGAGAAUCUAAUGCCUCUGCUGAAAUGACAGGAGAUGGGGCUUAGGUAGUAAUGAGAGUGAUGGGGAGCAGCUGUCAAUACAGAUGAGGCUUUGCUUGCUUGCUUGCUGCUCACUACCUGCUGUGCUGCCUGGUGCCUAACUGGUACUGGUCAGUGGCCUGGGGUUGGGAACUCCUGGUAGACUAACAACAGAACAAAGCCAAGUCUCAAGGAGAGAGAGUUGUGUAGAUGCCUGCCUGCCCAGUCUCUGUUGUGGGGGCCAAAUCACCCAAGACCUGCAUUUAAUUCCUUAUGGGCUUAGGCUGUGAAUUCAUGUAAAAUCUCAAGAAACCAAGAUGACAGGCCAGGGACCAAAGAGCAAAAGACCAUAGCUAUGGUAGGGGAGGAGACAAAGUCAAUCCCACGUGGACAGAUGGUGAUGAUGCUUAUCAGUUCUGUUCUGUCAUCCCGUAAAGGUAAAAACUUGUGUUCUUUUUCCUAGCACAGUCCAGAUGGUAUUGGCUGUGAUUAAAGAAAAUUCAGACAUGUGUGGGUGUGGCUGCAAUAGACAUUCAUGAGGGCUUUUGUUUUUAUUUGAAAGGGGCAGAGUAAGUAUUUGUGAACACUGGAUGAUGAUAAAGAAAAAGAUAUGGUGUCUAGUAUCCUACUUGGCCUCAUGGACCAUGGCUAGAGGGGUUAGAGGCAAAGUCAAAGGAAGCUGCCACCAUAAAGGGCUCUGUGAAUGCUGUUUAGGUUGAAAUGUGUGACAUAGCACUGGGAAGUGUUUCACUGCAUUAGCUCAGGCCAUAGCACGACCCUUAACAAACUCCUUAAGGUGAUGGUCCCCUUGGCAUAAGUAUUGGGGUUAAAAUCGAGGUUAACCUUAGGAAUAGUAUGGUUAAGAUUCCCCUGCGUGACUUUGGAAGUUGAAGACUCUGAUCAGGAGAACUACAGCAGGAAAGAGAAAAUAUGACUGAGGCUAAGUGGUGACUUGAUAUUGACAGAUAGGUGAACACAGGAAUGAAUUUCAGCAAGAACCCCAAUGAACGUCUGGGGAGUAGAGACCGUGUAUGAGCAGGACGGAAAAAAAAAAACAGAAGAUUCAGGUAGUGCCCUGUCGUGUGUCUCUUUUACAGUCGUGAAAUGAAGGACUUUCAGUGUUUUCAUUGAGCACCAAUCAAUUCCCUCUUUGCAAAAGACCAUACUGGAAUAGCAUCAAGGUUUAGGGAUAUUAAAGCAAUACGACACUGGAAUGACCACUGAGAACCAGCAAACUUCUUUAGCCCUUUUAUCCUCAGGCACUCUGGAAGCCAUGAAUCUGGUUUACUUGCUAAACUCUGUGUACUGCACAGAGUACAAUGGUAAAGCAACAAAGAUUGGCUCUAAAAUCUCUUGUAAAGGGAAGAGUGGUCAUCCCUUUAGAUGGCAAAUUGAGUUUCUAUAAUGGGGUUUGCUCUGAUGUCAAAUUUCCACUCAGGCAACAAGACAUUCUGUUGUUUAAAGCCCUAGAUGGGUGAUGUUUCUUUCACAUGCAAGGCCUGAAUGCUUCAUUGAGCUCUCUUUUAUCCACACACACUCAUUUAAACCUUUGUCAAAACUAUCCUUUAGCAUUUGCAUCUCCUGUGCAGGCAGAAGGGUCAAUGGGGAUAAAUCAGGAGAGAUGAGGUGCACUUUCAGAAGCUGGAGCUGAGAAGGUGAUGGAAGUAUCUGUAAAGUCGUUGAACAGCUGCACAAACUAUAGGGGAAGAAUUUCAGGAAGCAAAAGGGGAAUAGCCCUUUCCUCUUAAACCAAAGCAGAGCACAGCUCCAGAGGCACUUAUAUGGAGAGUUCAAUGGAAUGUGAGCUCUAAGAGUGGUUGAGAAUCUGACAAAAACAGCCAUCUGCCAACCCAAAAUUAAAACUCCUCUGUUUAGCACCCAGUAGAGAAAGUCAACCAGAUUGAUUUCCCAAACAAAGGACCUUAAAAGCAUCACCUAAGAAAGUGUGUCAGGAUCCACAGACAUCCAGAGCAUUCUCUAUGGUUCAUUACUUACAUUAUUCCUGUCUAUUUACACAUAAUGUUUAGAUGUAAAAUCCUUACAAUGAAAAGGGUGUAUAUGCUUUUAAAAAAGGCACAACAGAGAAGAGUUGAGCAGGUGGUGUGCUGGCUCACAGAUGGCCUUGAAAAAGAGGGUAAUCCUAAGAAUUAGAAUGAGUUGGUGGUAGUUAAAUAGAAAAGAACACAGCAAACUGCAUGCCAGAGGCCUGCCAGUAGUUGAACUCUCUUGACCAACAACGGGCAUGUGUGUGUGCUUUCUAAUAUAAAUCUCUGCCAUCGUCCAGGCCAGAGGUAAUAAGCAAUGGAAUAAGGCAGUAGGAACAAAAAGUAAAAGACAGUGAGAUGCAAAACCAACUUGGGUCUAGGAACAAGACCUUAUCCAUUUCAGAAUCUAUGGUGCCUCGAUGGCACCUGGCACAUAGUAGAGGCUCUGUAUAAAUUUUAUUUGGCAAUGGGCUCCAGAGACUUUGGGGGAAAUGCUAAUGUGCAAAAACAUGUUUUCAUUCUUCAUAGGUGGGAGCUUCAAUUUUUCCUACUUGCUUGCAUAUGAUAAUGAAGAAUAAUAAUAGAAACUGAAAUUUGCUCAUUUGAGUUUCUCUCUACAGAGUAGGUAGAUUC